GUGAGGAAUAUUGGUCAAUGGACGAGAGUCUGAACCAGCCAAGUCGCGUGAAGGAAGACGGUUCUAUGAAUUGUAAACUUCUUUUGUGCAGGAAUAAAGUGGGUUACGUGUAACCUUUUGUAUGUACUGUACGAAUAAGGAUCGGCUAACUCCGUGCCAGCAGCCGCGGUAAUACGGAGGAUCCGAGCGUUAUCCGGAUUUAUUGGGUUUAAAGGGUGCGUAGGUGGAUUGAUAAGUCAGCGGUGAAAGUUUGCAGCUUAACUGUAAAAUUGCCGUUGAAAAUGUCGGUCUUGAGUGCAAAUGAGGUAGGCGGAAUGUGUUGUGUAGCGGUGAAAUGCUUAGAUAUAACACAGAACUCCGAUUGCGAAGGCAGCUUACUGGGAUGCAACUGACACUGAUGCACGAAAGCGUGGGUAUCAAACAGGAUUAGAUACCCUAGUAGUCC
rnacentral:rRNA from 1 species